CCUUCGAUAGCUCAAUCUGGCAGAGCGCGGGACUGUAAUGGCAAUGAAUCUUCAAGCUUCACCGCACAUCCCGAGGUCGCUGGUUCGACCCCGGCUCGAAGGA
rfam:Hypholoma sublateritium FD-334 SS-4 unplaced genomic scaffold scaffold_102, whole genome shotgun sequence.